CGGCAACGGCGGCGGGAGGCCGGCCCCUUCUUCCCUUCUCCGAAGUGCUGCCGGAGAAGAGGGGAAGGGCCGGGAGGUGAGAUCGAGGCCGGACCUCCUCCGGGGGUCUUCACCGGCUCCGACCACGGCUAGGUAAGGCCGUGGCCCGAGGUAAGUAUUUUAAUAUUUUUUUUUUGUCUUUCUUCUUCUGUUUCCUUCUCCCCCCUUUUUCUUGUGGGAGUCACGCCACCACCUCUCGGCCGGCGGAGAGGUGGGGCUCGGCUGGGGCUGGCGGCCUUGAGGCCGCGUUGGUCGCCGGCACGGCAGACCCGGCGGCCCUUGGCUGCCCCUCAGCCCUAGGGCAGCCAUGGCCGGGGCCUGUCACCCGCAGGCCGAGUCCGGCUGGGCUCGGCCCGGGUGGCGUUGGGCUCGGCUUGGGCCGUUCUCAGGCCGGCCCGCGGCCUGUUGGUCCGGCCCGCAGCCCGUGGGUCCGGCCCGCGGCCCUUCCUGUUUCUUCUCUCCCGUGCCGGUCUCCUCCUCUCUGUGCCAGUCUCCUCCCCUCUGUUUCAUCAGUGAAACAGAGGGGAGAAUACCCUACAGAGGGGUAUCUCCACUCCCUAAAACUUUAUUAUUUAACCUAAGGGCCACUUACCUGGAUUUUUGCUGGUUACCGUUGGGCCGUUCCUCCCCCUCGUAGUCCCUCCUUCCUCUUGGAGCUUCAGGGCUCUUCCGCCUUAGGCUCCAGGGCUUCGGCUCUCUCUCUUUCAGUGUUCUUGGGGGCCUCCGACUUAGGGUUGCCGGCAGGGACUUAAAUAGUGGUUUAGAAGAUGAGACCCCCCCCCCUCCUGAGAGGUCCCAUCCGUUCCAUGCCUCCCCCUCUCCGGGAAUGGCCGCCGUCCCCCCCUGUCUCCGGUGCGCCGGCAUCGGCUGCCAGCAGGGGUGGGGGUCACCCUUCCCUGUCGGUCUUAUCCCUUCGUACUGGCUACAGUAUGAUUUUUUUUUUUAUAAUAAUCAUUAUACUGGCUACAGUAAAAUUUGGGCCCAACCCUUAACUGGGCCUAUUUUUCUAUUGGGCCUAGUAGGUUGUGGGCCCGGACAUUACA
rnacentral:lncRNA from 1 species